ACUUAAAGGUCAUGGAACCAUGGAAUGGUUGGGUUGGAAAGGACUUAAAGGUCAUGGAACCAUGGAAUGGUUGGGUUGGAAGGGACUUAAAGGUCAUAGAAACAUGGAAUGGCUGGGUUGGAAGGGAGCAUAAAGGUCAUAGAACCAUGGAAUGGUUGGGUUGGAAGGGACUUAAAGGUCAUAGAAUCAUGGAAUGGUUGGGUUGGAAGGGACUUAAAGGUCAUGGAACCAUGGAAUGGUUGGGUUGGAAGGGACUUAAAGGUCAUAGAACCAUGGAAUGGUUGGGUUGGAAGGGACUUAAAGGUCAUAGAACCAUGGAAUGGUUGGGUUGGAAGGGACUUAAAGGUCAUAGAACCAUGGAAUGGUUGGGUUGGAAGGGAGCAUAAAGGUCAUAGAACCAUGGAAUGGUUGGGUUGCAAGGGAGCAUAAAGGUCAUGGAA